rnacentral:rRNA from 1 species
AUUGAACGCUGGCGGCAGGCCUAACACAUGCAAGUCGAGCGGAUGAAGGGAGCUUGCUCCUGGAUUCAGCGGCGGACGGGUGUGUAAUGCCUAGGAAUCUGCCUGGCAGGGGGGGAUAACGUCCGGAAACGGGCGCUAAUACCGCAUACGUGCUGAGGGAGAAAGUGGGGGAUCUUUGGACCUUACGGUAUCAGAUGAGCCUAGUUCGGGUUAGCUAGUUGGUGGGGUAAAGGCCUACCAAGGCGACGAUCCGUAACUGGCCGGAGAGGAUGAUCAGUCACACUGGAACUGAGACACGGUCCAGACUCCUACGGGAGGCAGCAGUCGGGAAUAUUGGACAAUGGGCGAAAGCCUGAUCCAGCCAUGCCGCGUGUGUGAAGAAGGUCUUCGGAUUGUAAAGCACUUUAAGUUGGGAGGAAGGGCAGUAAGUUAAUACCUUGCUGUUUUGACGUUACCAACAGAAUAAGCACCGGCUAACUUCGUG